GACGAACGCUGGCGGCGUGCUUAACACAUGCAAGUCGAACGAUUAAGAAGAGAAACGCGAACUUCGGUUCAAAUUUCACUUCGGAUUAGUGGCAGACGGGUGAGUAACGCGUGAGCAACCUACCUCUUACAAAGGGAUAGCCUCGGGAAACCGUGAUUAAUACCAUAUGACACAUUCAUAAGGCAUCUUAAGAAUGUUAAAGCUACGGCGGUAAGAGAUGGGCUCGCGUCCCAUUAGCUAGUUGGUGAGGUAACGGCCCACCAAGGCGACGAUGGGUAACCGGCCUGAGAGGGUGAACGGUCACAUUGGAACUGAGACACGGUCCAAACUCCUACGGGAGGCAGCAGUGGGGAAUAUUGCACAAUGGAGGGAACUCUGAUGCAGCGACGCCGCGUGAGCGAUGAAGGAAUUCGUUUCGUAAAGCUCUGUUCUAUGAGAAGAAAAGGACUGUACCAUAGGAGAAAGCCCCGGCUAAAUACGUG
rnacentral:rRNA from 1 species